AUUGAACGCUGGCGGCAUGCUUUACACAUGCAAGUCGAACGGUAACAGGGAGCUUGCUCCGCUGACGAGUGGCGGACGGGUGAGUAACGCGUGGGAAUCUACCCAGUAGUGGGGGAUAGCCAGGAGAAAUCCUGAUUAAUACCGCAUACGAUCUACGGAUGAAAGGUGGCCACUCCUUGGAAGCUAUCGCUAUUGGAUGAGCCCGCGUUAGAUUAGCUAGUUGGUGGGGUAAAGGCCUACCAAGGCGACGAUCUAUAGCUGGUCUGAGAGGAUGAUCAGCCACAUCGGGACUGAGACACGGCCCGGACUCCUACGGGAGGCAGCAGUGGGGAAUAUUGGACAAUGGGCGCAAGCCUGAUCCAGCAAUGCCGCGUGUGUGAAGAAGGCCUUAGGGUUGUAAAGCUCUUUCAGGUGGAAAGAAAUAGCGCUGUUUAAUAGAUGGCGUUGAUGACGGUACCACCAGAAGAAGCACCGGCU
rnacentral:rRNA from 1 species